rnacentral:tRNA from 1 species
GCCCGCAUAGCUCAGUCGGUAGAGCAUCAGACUUUUAAUCUGAGGGUCGCGGGUUCAAGUCCCUCUGUGGGCG